GAUAUGAACUCUCCGAAAAAAUUACGCUGUUAUCCCUAAGGUAAGUUAAUCUUAUAAUCAAAAAUUCUGGAUCAAAAAAACAUAAAUUAAUGAAUAAAAUAUUAAAAGUUAAAUAAAUUUUAAUGUCACCCCAACAAAACUUUAUAUUCUAAAAAAUUGUAUAAUUAACAAAAAACAAUAAUUAAUAAAUAAAGUAAACUUCUAUAGGGUCUUCUCGUCCUAUAAAAAAAUUUUAGCUUUUUAACUAAAAAAUUAAAUUCAAAAUAAUUAAAAAAAGAAAGUUUAUUUUUCAUCAAACCAUUCAUGCUAGCCUUCAAUUAAAAGACAAAUGAUUAUGCUACCUUCGUACAGUUAAAAUACCGCAGCCUUUUAAUUCAUAAAAAUCAAUGGGCAGGUCUGAUCUUAAAUUAAAAUCAAAAGACC
rnacentral:rRNA from 2 species